AUUUUUGUCUGAUGCAGUUUUUCUGUUCAUAGUUCAAGAACAGUAUUCAAAUGUUUAUAUAAUACAAUUACAAUAUAUGCAGAUUAUGAACCGGCAAUUGUAGCAAAAGUGGCAAACUGAAGCAAAAGACUGUCUUUGAAAAUAUAUCUCAACGACUAGCUGAAAAUGACUAUAUGUUUUCUGCAAAACAAUGUGCAUCAAAAUUAACGGCCUUGAAACUAAUGUACAAGAAGAUUACAGAUCAUAAUAAUACGUCUGGUAAUGAUAGACGAACAUGACAGUAUUAUGACGAUUUGAUUUCUUCUCUAACUUUGGUCCUACUACGGUCAACAACCAAUCGAAAGUUCCUCAAGAC